rnacentral:rRNA from 1 species
CCUACGGGAGGCAGCAGUGGGGGAUAUUGCACAAUGGGGGGAACCCUGAUGCAGCGACGCCGCGUGGGUGAAGGAGUGCUUCGGCAUGUAAAGCCCUAUCGGCAGGGGAGAAGAAAGACGGUACCUGACUAAGAAGCCCGGGCUAACUACGUACCAGCAGCCGCGGUAAUACGUAGGGGGCGAGCGUUAUCCGGAUUCACUGGGUGUAAAGGGAGCGUAGGCGGCCAUGCAAGCCAGGGGUGAAAGCCCGGGGCCCAACCCUCGGACUGCGCUGGAAACUGUAAGGCUGGAGUGCAGGGGAGGUAGGUGGAAUGCGUGGUGUAGCGGUGAAAUGCGUAGAUAUUACGAGGAACACCAGUGGCGAAGGCGGCUUACUGGACUGUAACUGACGUUGAGGCUCGAAAGCGUGGGGAGCAAACAGGAUUAGAUACCCGGGUAGUC